GGCGUGCUUAACACAUGCAAGUCGAACGCUGAAGCUCAGCUUUUGUUGGGUGGAUGAGUGGCGAACGGGUGAGUAACACGUGAGUAACCUGCCCCCUUCUUUGGGAUAACGCCCGGAAACGGGUGCUAAUACUGGAUAUUCACUGGUCUUCGCAUGGGGGUUGGUGGAAAGGGUUUUUCUGGUGGGGGAUGGGCUCGCGGCCUAUCAGCUUGUUGGUGGGGUGAUGGCCUACCAAGGCUUUGACGGGUAGCCGGCCUGAGAGGGUGACCGGUCACAUUGGGACUGAGAUACGGCCCAGACUCCUACGGGAGGCAGCAGUGGGGAAUAUUGCACAAUGGGCGCAAGCCUGAUGCAGCGACGCCGCGUGAGGGAUGGAGGCCUUCGGGUUGUGAACCUCUUUCGCUCAUGGUCAAGCCGCAACAAUGGUUGUGGUGAGGGUAGUGGGUAAAGAAGCGCCGGCUAACUACGUGCCAGCAGCCGCGGUAAUACGUAGGGCGCGAGCGUUGUCCGGAAUUAUUGGGCGUAAAGGGCUUGUAGGCGGUUGGUCGCGUCUGCCGUGAAAUCCUCUGGCUUAACUGGGGGCGUGCGGUGGGUACGGGCUGACUUGAGUGCGGUAGGGGAGACUGGAACUCCUGGUGUAGCGGUGGAAUGCGCAGAUAUCAGGAAGAACACCGGUGGCGAAGGCGGG
rnacentral:rRNA from 1 species